rnacentral:rRNA from 1 species
CCUACGGGAGGCAGCAGUAGGGAAUCUUCCACAAUGGGCGAAAGCCUGAUGGAGCAACGCCGCGUGAGUGAUGAAGGCCUUCGGGUUGUAAAACUCUGUCAUUCGGGACGAACCGGAGUCUGAGGAAAUGCAGACUCUCUGACGGUACCGGAGGAGGAAGCCCCGGCUAACUACGUGCCAGCAGCCGCGGUAAUACGUAGGGGGCAAGCGUUGUCCGGAUUCACUGGGCGUAAAGCGCGCGCAGGCGGUGAUGUAAGUCUGAGGUGAAAACCCGAAGCUCAACUUCGGGACUGCCUUGGAUACUGCGUCACUUGAGGAUAGGAGAGGCAAGGGGAAUUCCACGUGUAGCGGUGAAAUGCGUAGAGAUGUGGAGGAACACCUGUGGCGAAGGCGCCUUGCUGGCCUAUUUCUGACGCUGAGGCGCGAAAGCGUGGGGAGCAAACAGGAUUAGAUACCCUGGUAGUCCACGCUGUAAACGAUGAGUGCUAGGUGUAGGUGGGCUCAUACCCAUCUGUGCCGAAGCUAACGCAUUAAGCACUCCGCCUGGGGAGUACGGUCGCAAGACUGAAACUCAAAUGAAUUGACGGA